rnacentral:rRNA from 1 species
UACGGAGGGUGCGAGCGUUGUUCGGAAUCACUGGGCGUAAAGCGCGUGUAGGCGGCCCACUAAGUCUGAUGUGAAAGCCCGGGGCUCACCCCCGGAAGUGCAUUGGAAACUGGUGGACUCGAGUCCCGGAGAGGAGAGUGGAAUUCCGUGGUGUAGCGGUGAAAUGCGUAGAUAUCAGGAGGAACACCGGUGGCGAAGGCGGCUCUCUGGACGGUGACUGACGCUGAGACGCGAAAGCGUGGGGAGCAAACAGG